rnacentral:rRNA from 1 species
GACGAACGCUGGCGGCGUGCUUAACACAUGCAAGUCGAGCGGUAAGGCCCUUUCGGGGGUACGACGAGCGGCGAACGGGUGAGUAACACGUGGGUGACCUGCCCUCAGCUCUGGGAUAAGCCCGGGAAACUGGGUCUAAUACUGGAUAUGACUCCACGGUGCAUGCCGUGGGGUGGAAAGCCUUGUGCGGCUGAGGAUGGGCCCGCGGCCUAUCAGCUUGUUGGUGGGGUGAUGGCCUACCAAGGCGACGACGGGUAGCCGGCCUGAGAGGGCGACCGGCCACACUGGGACUGAGACACGGCCCAGACUCCUACGGGAGGCGAGCAGUGGGGAAUCUUGCGCAAUGGGCGAAAGCCUGACGCAGCGACGCCGCGUGAGGGAUGACGGCCU